CCUUCUCCCAUAUUGCUGUAGCUGGUAUGCUUCUGUGCAAAUCUAAUAGCAGUGCCUUUGGGACCCUGGGAGUGCAUCACGUCUGGAAAGAGAACAUGAACAAUAAGAGAAAAUAAACCCAUUACUCUAUUGAAGGAGAGAGCCACCAUCCUAUAUAUCUUGAUGGAACAUCUGCAUUUUUUUAUCUGUGUAUUGUAUUUGGUAGUUUACUAAAAUCGAUACCAUGCUGUUGAUAUGUUUUUGCCUUUCACUAUCUACAUAAGAUUGUAAUACAUGUGUUUUCCUAGACCACAUAAAUGUUCUACUGAAUG
rnacentral:lncRNA from 1 species